AGGGUUAUCAUACAUUUUGAAAUGUAUCAUGAUGUCGAAAAUUACAGUAAAUUUGUGCUGUGUACAGAAAAAAUAUCAAUGCGCGAUUGAAUCACGUGACAGGUCAUUGAGGUCAGCCAUGUUGAUUCGACUUUCGUCAGUACGUUAAUUGAUACAGACAUCCAGGAUAUUUUGAAGAAAUUGUGUGUGAUAUAACAAACUGUUGUGUGAGGUUUUUAAUUUGACAUGGUCAAGACAUACUAUGAUAGUAUUGUUCAGUAUUACUUCUGUCAUGUUACUGUUUGAUAACAGUUAAGGUACAGUAGGUUCAGACAAGUUAUAUACAUGUAUACAGGACAAGACAGCUCAAACUGGCAGUUUGUUAUAGCAAAAAGUGAUGAAGUUUCAGCCUAGAAGUCUUCAUGAUGAUGAUGGUGAUGAUCCUAGUUAUAGAUUCUUUGCAAUUAUCUGUAAGGAAGGGGUUUCUGCUGCAGAGAAGAAAAAAAUUCAUGCAGUAAGACUAAACCUUGCUCCCACUUUGCAGUAAGAAGUUGCCCACUCUGUUCAAAUGAAGCUGUCUGAAGUACCCAGUAGACAAUGUAUUAUUUCUGGAACAACUUAAUUGAAGUGAAGCUUACUAUGUGAAGGAGUUAUUUCUGUAUUCAAAAGGAAACUUCAGCAUACAGAAUACCAAUUGAGAUAUUUGUAACUGGAAUCCCUUCAGACGUUGACAUAGCUAAAUUCCACAGUUUCAACUAUAAAUGGACAUUGAAUAAUUAUACAUUGGUUUUAUUUUAUACAUGUAUCUGUUAAUAUUUUUGUUUUCAAAUAAUUCCCAAUAUUGUUAAUUUUGGAUAAUAUAUGUAUAACUUUGCCACAAUGUUGGUAAAUGGAGGCUGCUAUUUUACUGUGACUGAAAGUAGUUCAGAUAUGACGCCUUAUGAUGUCCGAGGUUUAUAGCCCAUCAUACAAGCCAAAGAGAGCAGAUUUUUUUUCUGUGUAGAUUCAUUAAUUUUCAAUGUUCAUAAUUGAAAGUGAUUCUGUCAUAUUUCCUGAAUUUGUUUAAUUUCCUUCCUGAUUUGCAAAUAUUAAUUAUCUACUCUUUAUUUAUCACAUUUUUCUGAGAAAUAAAUGUAUUUCCCACAAAA